GUGAUCGGCGCCACCUUAGUAGACAUGCGCAAUGCACAUUAAACCCAUCGCUCCAAAACCAACAAAAAUAAAUUACGGUAUAUGGACACUGUACAUCAAUGUGCGAGAGAAAGAUACAUUAACAAAAUGGCUGGUGUUGGGAUCGAUCCCUUUGAGACGAAGAAGGAAAAUAUGUCAGUUGAUGUGGACAAGCUGCUUCCGAUCUCAUAUUACUAUACUUCACUACUGAACACGAAGAAUGAGUAAACAUGGAGGAGCUUCGCGGCCGGCUACACGUCCGUCUUAGCUAGCAGCUAAAAGCUACAUUAGCUCAGCUAAUUUUGCUAGUUCCAAAGCCUAAAACAGAUGGAAAAGGUGGAAAACUCUCCAGUUUCCGCUCACCGUUGCAGCGGUACCGCAGGUUGGCCCAGAUGAUGUUCUCCUGGGAGAAGCAGAAGACGCCCAGCCGGCCUCCUCUCAUCGUGGCGUCUAUGAUGACUCCGGUGUCUGCCACCAUCUGAGGGCCCUCAUAGAAACGGACUCUGCAGUAACAGCAGAGGGCAGCAAAGCAAAGAGUUUUCUUGCGCACCAUCCAAGUCCUCCUGCAGAGGGUUGGGCACCAGACGGCAGUUGUCAGGACCAGGCGGCAGCAGAAAACCUGAAGGUCUUUCUGCCCGUGUGCGAACCUGUGUGUUUGGGAUCCCAUCCCCAUCUGCGUCGUCAUCACAGGCAUCUCCAAUCCCAUCGUUGUCGGCGUCCUCCUGGCCGGAGUUCGGCACGGUCAGGUCAGGACAGUUCAGCUUCUCGUCAGGGAAACCAUCGAUGUCGGUGUCCGUUCCACACAGUGGCGUAAGCAAGUCCAACCCCCUGGACCUGAGGUCCGGUGUAUCCUGCAGGACAGGAACCGCAGCGGAAACCCGG